UUAUUAUUAAAGUUGUCAACCUACAAAAACAGAAACCAGUUUAAGAGGCAGAGCGCUUAUUUAGGAUCAAAGAAUUGAAAUUCUGGGAGCAUAGAUUCAGGUAGAAACUCAGAUAGCAUCCCGAUUACAGGAGAGGGACUUAG